rnacentral:rRNA from 1 species
GAUGAACGCUAGCGGCAGGCUUAAUACACGCAAGUCGAGGGGCAGCAUGAUUGUAGCAAUACAAUUGAUGGCGACCGGCAAACGGGUGCGGAACACGUACACAACCUUCCAACAAGUGGGGGAUAGCCCAGAGAAAUUUGGAUUAAUACCCCGUAACAUAGCGAUGUGGCAUCACAUUGCUAUUAUAGAUUUUUCGCUUGUUGAUGGGUGUGCGGCUGAUUAGAUAGUUGGCGGGGUAACGGCCCACCAAGUCUACGAUCAGUAGCUGAUGUGAGAGCAUGAUCAGCCACACGGGCACUGAGACACGGGCCCGACUCCUACGGGAGGCAGCAGUAAGGAAUAUUGGACAAUGGACGCAAGUCUGAUCCAGCCAUGCCGCGUGAAGGAUUAAGGUCCUCUGGAUUGUAAACUUCUUUUAUAAGGGACGAAAAAAGGCUUUUCUAAGUCGUCUGACGGUACCUUAUGAAUAAGCACCGGCUAACUCCGUGCCAGCAGCCGCGGUAAGAC